ACCUGCCCUAUGAAUAAUUAUUUUUAAAUGGCUGCGGUAUUUUGACCGUGCAAAGGUAGCAUAAUAAUUAGUUUCUUAAUUGGGAACUGGAAUGAAUGGUUGAACGAGAAAAUUACUGUCUCAGUUUAAUUUAAUUAGAAUUUUAUUUUUAAGUAAAAAAGCUUAAAUUUUUUUAAAAGACGAGAAGACCCUAUAGAGUUUUAUAUUAAGUAUUAUAAUUGAAAAUUAAAGUAUUAUAAGUUUAAUUAUAUUAGUUAGUAUUUAAUUGGGGCGAUUAAAAAAUUUAUUUAACUUUUUUUAUAUUAAAAAUCCAUUGAUUUAUGAAUAAAUGAUCCAUAUUUUAUGAUUAAAAGAUU
rnacentral:rRNA from 1 species